rnacentral:rRNA from 1 species
CCUACGGGUGGCAGCAGUGAGGAAUAUUGGUCAAUGGUCGUAAGCCUAAACCAGCCAAGUAGCGUGCAGGAUGACGGCCCUCUGGGUUGUAAACUGCUUUUAUUCGGGAAUAAACUGCGUCCCGUGUGCUGGUUUUUAGGUACCGCAUGAAUAAGGGCCGGCUAAUUCCGGGCCAGCAGCCGCGGUAAUACGGAAGGGCCGGGCGUUAUCCGGGUUUUUUUGGGUUAAAGGGAGCGUAGGCCGGCUUUUAAAGGUGCCGUGAAAGGCCGCGGCUCAACCCUGGAAGUGCGGUUGGAACUGGAGGGCUUGAGUGCACACAGGGAUGGCGGAAUUCGUGGUGUAGCGGUGAAAUGCUUAGAUAUCAUGAAGAACUCCGAUCGCGAAGGCAAGUGUCCGGGGUGCAACUGACGCUGAGGCUCGAAGGUGCGGGUAUCGAACAGGAUUAGAUACCCGGGUAGUC